AAAUUGAAGAGUUUGAUCAUGGCUCAGAUUGAACGCUGGCGGCAGGCCUAACACAUGCAAGUCGAACGGUAACAGGAAGCAGCUUGCUGCUUUGCUGACGAGUGGCGGACGGGUGAGUAAUGUCUGGGAAACUGCCUGAUGGAGGGGGAUAACUACUGGAAACGGUAGCUAAUACCGCAUAACGUCGCAAGACCAAAGAGGGGGACCUUCGGGCCUCUUGCCAUCGGAUGUGCCCAGAUGGGAUUAGCUUGUAGGUGGGGUAACGGCUCACCUAGGCGACGAUCCCUAGCUGGUCUGAGAGGAUGACCAGCCACACUGGAACUGAGACACGGUCCAGACUCCUACGGGAGGCAGCAGUGGGGAAUAUUGCACAAUGGGCGCAAGCCUGAUGCAGCCAUGCCGCGUGUAUGAAGAAGGCCUUCGGGUUGUAAAGUACUUUCAGCGGGGAGGAAGGGAGUAAAGUUAAUACCUUUGCUCAUUGACGUUACCCGCAGAAGAAGCACCGGCUAACUCCGUGCCAGCAGCCGCGGUAAUACGGAGGGUGCAAGCGUUAAUCGGAAUUACUGGGCGUAAAGCGCACGCAGGCGGUUUGUUAAGUCAGAUGUGAAAUCCCCGGGCUCAACCUGGGAACUGCAUCUGAUACUGGCAAGCUUGAGUCUCGUAGAGGGGGGUAGAAUUCCAGGUGUAGCGGUGAAAUGCGUAGAGAUCUGGAGGAAUACCGGUGGCGAAGGCGGCCCCCUGGACGAAGACUGACGCUCAGGUGCGAAAGCGUGGGGAGCAAACAGGAUUAGAUACCCUGGUAGUCCACGCCGUAAACGAUGUCGACUUGGAGGUUGUGCCCUUGAGGCGUGGCUUCCGGAGCUAACGCGUUAAGUCGACCGCCUGGGGAGUACGGCCGCAAGGUUAAAACUCAAAUGAAUUGACGGGGGCCCGCACAAGCGGUGGAGCAUGUGGUUUAAUUCGAUGCAACGCGAAGAACCUUACCUGGUCUUGACAUCCACGGAAGUUUUCAGAGAUGAGAAUGUGCCUUCGGGAACCGUGAGACAGGUGCUGCAUGGCUGUCGUCAGCUCGUGUUGUGAAAUGUUGGGUUAAGUCCCGCAACGAGCGCAACCCUUAUCCUUUGUUGCCAGCGGUCCGGCCGGGAACUCAAAGGAGACUGCCAGUGAUAAACUGGAGGAAGGUGGGGAUGACGUCAAGUCAUCAUGGCCCUUACGACCAGGGCUACACACGUGCUACAAUGGCGCAUACAAAGAGAAGCGACCUCGCGAGAGCAAGCGGACCUCAUAAAGUGCGUCGUAGUCCGGAUUGGAGUCUGCAACUCGACUCCAUGAAGUCGGAAUCGCUAGUAAUCGUGGAUCAGAAUGCCACGGUGAAUACGUUCCCGGGCCUUGUACACACCGCCCGUCACACCAUGGGAGUGGGUUGCAAAAGAAGUAGGUAGCUUAACCUUCGGGAGGGCGCUUACCACUUUGUGAUUCAUGACUGGGGUGAAGUCGUAACAAGGUAACCGUAGGGGAACCUGCGGUUGGAUCACCUCCUUACCUUAAAGAA
rnacentral:rRNA from 1 species